rnacentral:rRNA from 1 species
GACGAACGCUGGCGGCGUGCUUAACACAUGCAAGUCGAACGGAAAGGCCCAGCUUGCUGGGUGCUCGAGUGGCGAACGGGUGAGUAACACGUGGGUGAUCUGCCCCUAACUUCGGGAUAAGCUUGGGAAACUGGGUCUAAUACCGGAUAGGACAAUCGUUUAGUGUCGGUUGUGGAAAGUUUUUUCGGUUAGGGAGGAGCCCGCGGCCUAUCAGCUUGUUGGUGGGGUAAUGGCCUACCAAGGCGUCGACGGGUAGCCGGCCUGAGAGGGUGGACGGCCACAUUGGGACUGAGAUACGGCGCAGACUCCUACGGGAGGCAGCAGUGGGGAAUAUUGCACAAUGGGCGCAAGCCUGAUGCAGUGACGCCGCGUGGGGGAUGACGGCCUUCGGGUUGUAAACCUCUUUCGACAGGGACGAAGCUUUGGUGACGGUACCUGUAUAAGAAGCACCGGCUAACUACGUGCCAGCCGCCGCCGUAA